rnacentral:rRNA from 1 species
GUGCCAGCCGCCGCGGUAACACGUAGGGUGCGAGCGUUGUCCGGAAUUAUUGGGCGUAAAGAGCUCGUAGGCGGUGUGUCGCGUCGGCCGUGAAAACUUGGGGCUUAACUCUGAGCGUGCGGUCGAUACGGGCAUCACUUGAGUUCGGCAGGGGAGACUGGAAUUCCUGGUGUAGCGGUGAAAUGCGCAGAUAUCAGGAGGAACACCGGUGGCGAAGGCGGGUCUCUGGGCCGAUACUGACGCUGAGGAGCGAAAGCGUGGGGAGCGAACAGGAUUAGAUACCCUGGUAGUCCACGCCGUAAACGUUGGGCGCUAGGUGUGGGGACCAUUCCACGGUUUCUGUGCCGCAGCUAACGCAUUAAGCGCCCCGCCUGGGGAGUACGGCCGCAAGGCUAAAACUCAAAUAAAUUGACGG